AUGAACGCUGGCGGCGUGCCUAAUACAUGCAAGUCGAGCGAACAGAUGAGGAGCUUGCUCCUCUGACGUUAGCGGCGGACGGGUGAGUAACACGUGGAUAACCUACCUAUAAGACUGGGAUAACUUCGGGAAACCGGAGCUAAUACCGGAUAAUAUAUUGAACCGCAUGGUUCAAUAGUGAAAGACGGUUUUGCUGUCACUUAUAGAUGGAUCCGCGCCGCAUUAGCUAGUUGGUAAGGUAACGGCUUACCAAGGCAACGAUGCGUAGCCGACCUGAGAGGGUGAUCGGCCACACUGGAACUGAGACACGGUCCAGACUCCUACGGGAGGCAGCAGUAGGGAAUCUUCCGCAAUGGGCGAAAGCCUGACGGAGCAACGCCGCGUGAGUGAUGAAGGUCUUCGGAUCGUAAAACUCUGUUAUUAGGGAAGAACAAAUGUGUAAGUAACUAUGCACGUCUUGACGGUACCUAAUCAGAAAGCCACGGCUAGCUACGUG
rnacentral:rRNA from 1 species